AGUGAACGCUGGCGGUAGGCCUAACCCAUGCAAGUCGAACGGCAGCACAGUAAGAGCUUGCUCUUACGGGUGGCGAGUGGCGGACGGGUGAGGAAUACAUCGGAAUCUACUUUUUCGUGGGGGAUAACGUAGGGAAACUUACGCUAAUACCGCAUACGACCUACGGGUGAAAGCAGGGGAUCUUCGGACCUUGCGCGAUUGAAUGAGCCGAUGUCGGAUUAGCUAGUUGGCGGGGUAAAGGCCCACCAAGGCGACGAUCCGUAGCUGGUCUGAGAGGAUGAUCAGCCACACUGGAACUGAGACACGGUCCAGACUCCUACGGGAGGCAGCAGUGGGGACUAUUGGACAAUGGGCGCAAGCCUGAUCCAGCCAUACCGCGUGGGUGAAGAAGGCCUUCGGGUUGUAAAGCCCUUUUGUUGGGAAAGAAAAGCAGCAGGUUAAUACCCCGCUGUUCCGACGGUACCCAAAGAAUAAGCACCGGCUAACUUCGUG
rnacentral:rRNA from 1 species